AACAACUAGCCUCCUCCCCACCCACAGCAGCCCAACAACUAGCCUCCUCCCCACCCACAGCCGCCCCCACAGAGGAACCCUCCAAGCCCGGAAACUGCGACGUCGACUGUUCCCAGGGGCAGUACCACCCACAUCCCAGCGACUGCCACAUGUUCAUCCAGUGCACCCCGUACGGCCCCCAGGAGAUGCCCUGCGCCCCGGGAACCGUGUGGGACCAGGACCUCUUGACCUGCAACCACGAGGCCACGACCCCCUGUGUCAUCGCCGAACCCUGUGUCUAAAGUCAUGACAAGCAGUGCCGCAGAGGAGACGGAAGAUAUGCCGUCGAAGGAAAGAAGACCGAAUAUUACCUCUGCCACUCCGGAGUAUCCUUCCUCCUUCGUUGUCCCGAUGAAGGAACCUUUAAUCCUCAUACUACAUCCUGUGUCUAUGAGGACCGCACUGCCAUCGGGAAGGUAGUCGCUUAGAGGGAGAGAAGCGGUGUAGGUUGUGUAAGAACAUAUGUCAGAGUUAAAUAAAGUGUAAUUUGAAA